rnacentral:rRNA from 1 species
GACGAACCGCCCGAACGUUGUUCGGAAUCACUGGGCUUAAAGGGAGCGUAGGCGGGCUGCCAAGUCCGGGGUGAAAUCCUCCAGCUUAACUGGAGAACUGCCUCGGAUACUGGAAGUCUCGAGGAGGGUGAGGGGCAAGUGGAACCGUGGGUGGAGCGGUGAAAUGCGUUGAUAUCCAUGGGAACUCCGGUGGCCGAAGGCGAACUUGCUGGACCCUUUCUGACGCUGAGGCUCGAAAGCCAGGGGAGCAAACGGG